AUAUAAGCUGACACACAAAGUUUUAACAGUUUUUAGAAACACAUACGUUGUUAUUAAGUUUUUUAAUUAAGGCCGUUUGUCAGAACCGUACUGAGAAUGUUGAAAAUAAUCAAUCAUAGUCAUGAUCAGAUUAGAGAAAAACAGGACAUGACAACAACUUAAGCACAUUUUCUUUCAUACGGUUGAACUCGCGCUUCAAGCCCCGCCAACUAGAUCCAGCGAGGCGGAGCUUGGCUGUGCAGCGAGCGAGCUCCCUCUCGUGCAUUUCUUGUCUUGGAAUGCUUCCUCAAACAAUAUUAUGAAGCUGCAGACUCGGAGCCUGCAGCUACAGACCCCCGCCCAGAGAGCCGCAUUCUCAGACCCCUCGUUUUUCGAGACGGCGAUCAAAUUGGAUCGGAUAAACAUUUGAAGAAACAUGGAUAUAACAAUUCAAACGGGGGACUCACUUCCAGAAAUUCCAAAAUGUCACAAAUGCUGCAGUGAUUUUGACUACCAUCAAAGUGGUUCCCCCUAAAGCCAUGUGUGCCUGUCUACAUGGACAGCCAUUAUUCAUGGCCUAUGUGAAAUGCAGGCAUUAUCCUGGCAGGAAGCUGAGCAGGUGUUCCUCAGUGGCCCUUCUUAUCACUCGAGUGAAGUCAAGGAAUUUGACAGAGCAGUUUCCAAAAGACAGAAAAAGAAGGAAAAAAAUCACCUGCAGGAACAAGAUGAUGUUUAGGUGAUUGUUUAAUAAAGUACAGAAUUGUUUAUUAUUAGUGUUUUGUCUAUUCUUAUUUAAGUUUAGCUUCGGAUUCAAAAUAUCAAAAAACAGGUUUUGUAAUGUUAGCAUGAUGUUAAUGACCAUUACAGGUUGAACUGAACGAAAAAAAUAGAAUUUUAAUUAAAAAAAACAACAACAUUGUAGCAAUAUAAUAUUACAUAUUUUUCUAAAGAUAGUUCAAUCUGUAAUUGUAUCCCUUCCAUCAGUAAUUUUCUUUUAAUUACACCCACGCUCAAAAAAAUAACUACUGGGUAAAUUGUUAGUCAGAGAACACAAUUCGUUUUUUGGCACAUGCAUUAAGCCGGGAACGCAAAUAUUUAUUUGGAUAACUUUAAAUAAAACGAGACUAAUAUUGAAUAUAGAAUAUAGAAUAUUGCAUCCUAUUGUUUUCAAUGCCAUUUGGAUAAGGGUGUUAUACGGUCUUCCAAACAGCAGGGGGCGCUGUCUCAAAAAACGAGGGGUCUGAGAAUGCGGGUCUCUUGGCGGGGGUCUGUAGGUGCAGGCUCCGAGUCUGCAGCUUCUUCAUACUACUCUCCUCAAAAGGCGAGAAGGCGCCAAUUUGGAUCUUUCUGACGCAGCCAGUGUGUUUCGAGCCUGGUGUCUUCAGCCACGUGUAAAUGCUUCGGUGUGCACUCCGUCUUCGAUUAUUUUAUUGGUUUGUCAACAGAAGACAGGAUUUCUUAAUACGCUAACCGUUAGCAGUGAGAUGAAGUUGAAAAUCUGACACGGACUCACUGUUGUCUCUGGAGCAGGGAUCCAUUGUCCGGACAGCCUCAUAAACAUCACCUGACUCAUACAGUUGUGUACU